rnacentral:rRNA from 1 species
AGUGAACGCUGGCGGUAGGCCUAACACAUGCAAGUCGAACGGCAGCACAGUAAGAGCUUGCUCUUACGGGUGGCGAGUGGCGGACGGGUGAGGAAUACAUCGGAAUCUACUUUUUCGUGGGGGAUAACGUAGGGAAACUUACGCUAAUACCGCAUACGACCUACGGGUGAAAGCAGGGGAUCUUCGGACCUUGCGCGAUUGAAUGAGCCGAUGUCGGAUUAGCUAGUUGGCGGGGUAAAGGCCCACCAAGGCGACGAUCCUUAGCUGGUCUGAGAGGAUGAUCAGCCACACUGGAACUGAGACACGGUCCAGACUCCUACGGGAGGCAGCAGUGGGGAAUAUUGGACAAUGGGCGCAAGCCUGAUCCAGCCAUACCGCGUGGGUGAAGAAGGCCUUCGGGUUGUAAAGCCCUUUUGUUGGGAAGGAAAAGCAGCAGGUUAAUACCCCGCUGUUCUGACGGUACCCAAAGAAUAAGCACCGGCUAACUUCGUG